UACGUAGGGGGCGAGCGUUGUCCGGAUUUAUUGGGCGUAAAGAGCUCGUAGGCGGUUUGGUAAGUCGGAUGUGAAAUCUCCAGGCUCAACUUGGAGGGGUCAUUCGAUACUGCCAUGACUAGAGUUCGGUAGGGGAGUGUGGAAUUCCUGGUGGAGCGGUGAAAUGCGCAGAUAUCAGGAGGAACACCCGUAGCGAAGGCGGCGCUCUGGGCCGGAACUGACGCUGAGGAGCGAAAGCGUGGGGAGCGAACAGG
rnacentral:rRNA from 1 species